rnacentral:rRNA from 1 species
GUGGUACGCGAGCUGGGUUUAGAACGUCGUGAGACAGUUCGGUCCCUAUCUGCCGUGGGCGUUGGAAGAUUGAAAGGGGCUGCUCCUAGUACGAGAGGACCGGAGUGGACGUACCACUGGUGUUCGGGUUGUCAUGCCAAUGGCAUUGCCCGGUAGCUAAGUGCGGCAGAGAUAACCGCUGAAAGCAUCUAAGCGGGAAACUUGCCUUGAGAUGAGUCUUCCC